CUUUGUAUUAACUGAUUUUUUCAACUUCUAAUAUUUUUGAGCCAUUGUCAGCCCAAUUAAGUGUUCGGCACAUGUUUUGCAUUUCAGAAUCCAUACACCAUUCAUCUGUAAAGAGGUAUGAAAGGGAUGUGAGUCAUUAGUCAUCGUCAGGAAACACGUUUCUGAAAAAUUAAUACAUGACCAGUUGCCGCUUACUGGCACAUCAGUGAAAACUAAGAAUAUCUGCUCAUACCGAGGGAAGAACCAUGUUACUCAAAAUGCAUUGUGUACCAGUUGUGGCAUGGAAACUACACUCUCUGCAUUGUAUUUAAUGCUUUAAUGAUGCCAGAACACCUGCCUUGAAUAAAUAAGUUACAUGAGCUCA
rnacentral:lncRNA from 1 species